CAUCUGAUGCGAUAUCCUAUAUCAAUUAUUUCCUGGCAUUCUAGAAAGACCAUCAUGACUUCCAGCUGCCGUGCCACCUGAACCAGUUGGAGAAACUGUCCAUUAGAUGGAACUCUUUGGGAUAUGUGUUACAUUUCACGAGAUAAAAGAAGGUUUAAAAAGACAAUAAGUUCUGUGAGUUGAAUGACAUUCACCCACAGCCCCUAGACAUGGUACAGAAUCUAGAGAAAGAAGGUCUCUACCCAGUGACCCUGCAGUCUUCCACAGAUGAGCCACCAGCACUGUGAAAGGAUUGAAAUGAGCCACAGAGAUGGAAUCAAGAUGGUAACGACACUCAGUGAGAUACUGGCCUCACCAUCACCACCAUUAGUCAUCGGUUAAGAUAUCAUACUAAGACAGAAGGCACUUGCCAAGAGCCUGCCCUCUCUUUUAAAAUUUCUACUCCAAUAAUUUGAAUCUGCGUUUCAAUCACCUGCACAGAUAUUCUCCCUACCACGGCAAAUAAGACAUUCAGGGACUUUUAGUAAGCUAGUGACAUGAUUCUAUCAUCACCUGCCGAGAAGGACCUCAAGAGAUAAUCAGACCUAGUAUUUUGCUCCUAAUAGAAGUAAGUAAAGUAAAAUUGUAACCAUUGACUUUAGCACAUAUUUUCCAUACUCAACUGGUCAAUAUUAAAUAACUUGAUAAAGUAGAUUCAUUCACCUCAGGCCAUAUUGACUUGCAGCUAAUUCAACCAAGCCUGCUCAUGGGUAAUUCAUGUUACUUAAAAUCAGACAUCCCAUAGUGUCAAUCACCAGCUGCAGGAUCAAGUCAAGGAUACGGCCAGGGCUUCCCUGGUGGUGCAGUGGUUGAGAG